UACGUAGGGUGCAAGCGUUGUCCGGAAUUAUUGGGCGUAAAGAGCUCGUAGGCGGUUUGUUGCGUCGGCUGUGAAAACCCGGGGCUCAACCCCGGGCCUGCAGCCGAUACGGGCAGACUAGAGUUCGGCAGGGGAGACUGGAAUUCCUGGUGUAGCGGUGAAAUGCGCAGAUAUCAGGAGGAACACCGGUGGCGAAGGCGGUUCUCUGGGCAUUACCUGACGCUGAGGAGCGAAAGUGUGGGGAGCGAACAGG
rnacentral:rRNA from 1 species